rnacentral:rRNA from 1 species
GAUGAACGUUGGCGGCGUGCCUAACACAUGCAAGUCGAACGCUGGUAGCAAUAUCAGAGUGGCGCACGGGUGAGUAACACGUAGCUUACCUACCUCAAAGCGCGGGAUAACGUUCCGAAAGGAAUGCUAAUACCGCAUAAGCUCCCGGUCUGUAGAGGCUGAGAGAAAAGGGCAACUCACUUUGAGAUGGGGCGUGCGGCCCAUCAGCUGGUUGGUGAGGUAACGGCUUACCAAGGC